rnacentral:rRNA from 1 species
CCUACGGGGGGCUGCAGUGAGGAAUAUUCGGCAAUGGGGGCAACCCUGACCGAGCAACGCCGCGUGGAGGAUGACGGUUUUUGGAUUGUAAACUCCUUUUCUGUGGGAAGAGACAGGACGGUACCACAGGAAUAAGUCACGGCUAACUACGUGCCAGCAGCCGCGGUAAUACGUAGGUGGCAAGCGUUAUCCGGAAUUACUGGGCGUAAAGCGCACGCAGGUGGUUGUCUAAGUUCGACGUGAAAGCGCCUGGCUUAACUGGGCGAGGUCGUUGG